AAGAAUAGCACACUAUUUUCUAGAGGAGUAGCAGACGACAUAUAUCGGUAAUAUUGUUCUCUGGUGUUUGUUUUUCAUUCUGCUUUGCAAAUCAAUUUACAUGGUGCUCAUCGUUUCUUUAUAUAUCUAUAGGAUCAUAUUAACAUCCAGUUUAAGGGUUGUGUCAACAACAGCCUUGAUAUGCACAAUCCAAUAUCACCAAGGGACACGAUGGAAAACAUCUAAAAAGGACCUGAUUUUGCCCCCUUAUUUCUAUUCCGUGAAAAGGAAUUGUCAUUGUUUUGUCCUAGUCCUCUGAAAGGUUUCUUAUAUUAGUCGGAUUUACAUUUCCUCUGUUUGUCAAGACAGAAUGGAGCUCAAGCACAGCAAAAGAGGAACGUCAAAUUCAGAGUGACAGGUUUAACAAGAAGGCGGCAAAAUAAAUAUAGAUUUCGCUGUGGGGAGGACGCACCUCGAGGAAUUUGCUGGAUAAUGUGCUUGGUGUCUUGGGAGAAGCCAAAGAAAAAUGAGAACAUCAAAUAUGAAGAACUUGGAACAAAGAAAACAACAUUUGCAUACGCCUUUUUUCAAAUUCAUUUGCUACCGAAUUUAUACCACUCGUUUAAUCCAUUGAACAAUUUAGGAUUCUAUAUUAGACAAAACACAAUUUUUCUGUGGCAGACGUAUAAAGAUCCUGAAUUCGAA